rnacentral:rRNA from 1 species
UACGUAGGGGGCAAGCGUUGUUCGGAUUUAUUGGGCGUAAAGAGCGUGUAGGCGGUUUGGUAGGUCCGCUGUGAAAACUCGAGGCUCAACCUCGAGACGCCGGUGGAAACCAUCAGACUAGAGUCCGGAAGAGGAGAGUGGAAUUCCUGGUGUAGCGGUGAAAUGCGCAGAUAUCAGGAAGAACACCCGUGGCGAAGGCGGUCAACUGGCCCUCAACUGACGCUGAGGCACGAAAGCGUGGGGAUCAAACAGG